UUAUGGCCAUAUCAUGCUGAAACACCUUUUCUAGUAUGAUCACUGAAGUUAAGCAACAUCAAGCUUGGUCAGUACCUAGAUGGGUAAUUGCUUGGGAAUACCAGGUGCUGUAAG